rnacentral:rRNA from 1 species
UAUACAUGCAGUCGAGCGAACAGACGAGGAGCUUGCUCCUCUGACGUUAGCGGCGGACGGGUGAGUAACACGUGGAUAACCUACCUAUAAGACUGGGAUAACUUCGGGAAACCGGAGCUAAUACCGGAUAAUAUAUUGAACCGCAUGGUUCAAUAGUGAAAGACGGUUUUGCUGUCACUUAUAGAUGGAUCCGCGCCGCAUUAGCUAGUUGGUAAGGUAACGGCUUACCAAGGCAACGAUGCGUAGCCGACCUGAGAGGGUGAUCGGCCACACUGGAACUGAGACACGGUCCAGACUCCUACGGGAGGCAGCAGUAGGGAAUCUUCCGCAAUGGGCGAAAGCUUGACGGAGCAACGCCGCGUGAGUNAUGAAAGGUCUUCGGGAUCGUAAAAACUCCUGUUAAUUAGGAAGAAACAAAUGGUGUAAGUACUAAUGCCCCGCCUUGACGGUACCUAAAUCAGAAGCCACGGCUAAACUACCGUGCCAGCGCGCGUAUACGUAGGUGGCAGCGUUAUCG